UUCCGGCCCGAUCAGCGGGGACGGUUCAUGUUUACCGGGACUCGCUCCGCCGCAUCACACCGGAGCCCCGAUGGCGCGAGCGCUCCGGCCCCGCUCCGGUGUGACGUCAGAGCGGCUCGUCUCAUUUAACCCUCUGCAGCGCAAGCGCCGUUCAUGUUCAGCUGAGACUUGUCGGUCACUUCCGGUCACUGCCAGGAGAUGGCGCUGCUCGCCGUGUGACCCAUGAUCUUCAGGAGACGUGAAGACACACGUGAGACGUCUUGAUUUAACGUUCAGACGGUGCGGCAGCCCUUAUAACCCAUUCUCCACCUUUAAAGUUGUCCAACUUUCCUCAAGGAGUUUUGAGUGAAAUUAGAUUGAAAUGUAUAAAACAUAGUCACACAUAUUUUGUUUUUCUACUCAUUUAUUUCCUCUCGUGACAGCGAGCGAGAGAUAAAGCGCGGUUUAUCUGUAAAGAGCACAGCAUCUCCUGCUCACACAGGAAACAGGAAGUCAAACCGCAGCGGCUUCACCGAAAAUCAUACAGCAACAACAACAAC